rnacentral:sRNA from 1 species
CUAAGCAAUCAGGUGUUAGUGUAGCAUGAUUACUGAAUGGCGCAGCAGCAAAGGCCAACGACUGCUGAUUGCUGGUGCCGGAUGAAACAAUCGACAAGAGAAUAUUUAGAAGGGCUCCCCCGGACAUCAGGCCAGCAACAGGAAAGGACACCAAGGAGAGCCUCCCUCGACGGUGCACAGCAGCCCGUGAAGAGUCGCACCAGGAGUCAGCCGUAGAUGAGCAGCAGGAGUACUCAGACGCACGCAGCAUGGUGGGAGUGCGAGGCACACAGGCGUCCACAUGGCUGAGGUUUUUUCAGUUGUGUUCACAUCGGAACAUUGGAAGCAACUGACGACUAUUUAAAAUAAUCGCCAGCUACCCUUAUUUAUUUUCGCAUUACUUUGAAAA